rnacentral:rRNA from 1 species
CCCGCUCCGAUGCUCUAGAUUACGCGAAGAACUUACCUACUCUUGACAUCCUGCGAACUUGGUAGAGAUACCUUGGUGCCUUCGGGAACGCAGAGACAGGUGCUGCAUGGCUGUCGUCAGCUCGUGUUGUGAAAUGUUGGGUUAAGUCCCGUAACGAGCGCAACCCUUGUCCUUAGUUGCCAUCAUUUAGUUGGGGACUCUAAGGAGACUGCCGGUGACAAACCGGAGGAAGGCGGGGACGACGUCAAGUCAUCAUGGCCCUUACGAGUAGGGCUACACACGUGCUACAAUGGCAAGUACAGAGGGCCGCGAAGCCGCGAGGUGGAGCUAAUCUCACAAAGCUUGUCGUAGUCCGGAUUGGAGUCUGCAACUCGACUCCAUGAAGUCGGAAUCGCUAGUAAUCGCAAAUCAGAAUGUUGCGGUGAAUACGUUCCCGGGUCUUGUA